rnacentral:rRNA from 1 species
CCGGCGCACGGGUGAGUAACACGUGAGCAACCUGCCUUCGAGAGGGGAAUAACGGCUGGAAACGGUCGCUAAUACCGCAUAACAUACAGGAGGGACAUCCCUUUUGUAUCAAAGAUUUAUCGCUCGAAGAUGGGCUCGCGUCCGAUUAGGUAGUUGGUGAGGUAACGGCCCACCAAGCCGACGAUCGGUAGCCGGACUGAGAGGGUGAUCGGCCACACUGGAACUGAGACACGGUCCAGACUCCUACGGAAGGCAGCAG